CACGUGGUUAGCCGUGACUUCCUCGCCGGGUACCAUCACUCAGAAAGCUUUCCACUCUUUCUGCCUUUUGUCCCCGGCAACAGAGCUUUACGAUCCGAAGACCUUCCUCGCUCACGCGGCAUUGCUCGUUCAGGGUUCCCCCCAUUGACGAAAAUUCCCUACUGCUGCCUCCCGCAGGAGUCUGGGCCGUGUCUCAGUCCCAGUGUGGCCGUCCGCCCUCUCAGGCCGGCUAUGCAUCGUCGCCUUGGUGAGCCGUUACCUCUCCAACCAGCUAAUGCACCGCAGGUCCAUCUGCAUGCGGGACUCUUGUCCCCUUUCAAAAAGAGAUGCCUCCUCUUUGCUCAUCCGGUAUCAGUCUUCCGUUCCAGAAGUUCCUCCCGCUCAUGCAGGCAGGUUCCCUACGUGUUACUCACCCGUUCGCCACUCAUAUCCGAAGAUAUCCGUUCGACUUGCAUGUAUUAGGCAUGCCGCAGUCGUUCAUCCUGACGCC
rnacentral:rRNA from 1 species